GACGAACGCUGGCGGCAUGCUUAACACAUGCAAGUCGAACGGAAAGGCCCUGCUUUUGUGGGGUGCUCGAGUGGCGAACGGGUGAGUAACACGUGAGUAACCUGCCCUUGACUUUGGGAUAACUUCAGGAAACUGGGGCUAAUACCGGAUAGGAGCUCCUGCUGCAUGGUGGGGGUUGGAAAGUUUCGGCGGUUGGGGAUGGACUCGCGGCUUAUCAGCUUGUUGGUGGGGUAGUGGCUUACCAAGGCUUUGACGGGUAGCCGGCCUGAGAGGGUGACCGGCCACAGUGGGACUGGGAUACGGCCCAGACUCCUACGGGAGGCAGCAGUGGGGAAUAUUGCACAAUGGGCGGAAGCCUGAUGCAGCAACGCCGCGUGCGGGAUGACGGCCGUCAGGUUGUAAACCGCUUUCGCCUGUAACGAAGCGUGAGUGACGGUAAUGGGUAAAGAAGCACCGGCUAACUACGUG
rnacentral:rRNA from 1 species